rnacentral:rRNA from 1 species
AGAGUUUGAUCAUGGCUCAGGAUGAACGCUAGCUACAGGCUUAACACAUGCAAGUCGAGGGGCAGCAUGUUGGUUGCUUGCAACCAACGAUGGCGACCGGCGCACGGGUGAGUAACGCGUAUCCAACCUACCCUUGUCCAUCGGAUAACCCGUCGAAAGGCGGCCUAACACGAUAUGCGGUUCACGGCAGGCAUCCAAGGUGAACGAAAUGUGAAGGAGAAGGAUGGGGAUGCGUCUGAUUAGCUUGUUGGCGGGGUAACGGCCACCAAGGCUACGAUCAGUAGGGGUUCUGAGAGGAAGGUCCCCCANAUUGGAACUGAGACACGGUCCAAACUCCGUACGGGAGCA